UACGUAGGGUCCGAGCGUUGUCCGGAAUUAUUGGGCGUAAAGAGCUCGUAGGCGGUUUGUCGCGUCUGCUGUGAAAUCUGGAGGCUCAACCUCCAGCCUGCAGUGGGUACGGGCAGACUAGAGUGCGGUAGGGGAGAAUGGAAUUCCUGGUGUAGCGGUGGAAAUGCGCAGAUAUCAGGAGGAACACCGAUGGCGAAGGCAGCUCGCUGGGACGGUACUGACGCUGAGGCGCGAAAGCGUGGGGAGCAAACAGG
rnacentral:rRNA from 1 species